rnacentral:tRNA from 1 species
GCUGAUAUGGCUCAGUUGGUAGAGCGCACCCUUGGUAAGGGUGAGGUCCCCAGUUCGACUCUGGGUAUAAGCACCA